rnacentral:misc_RNA from 1 species
AAAAGUUUAAAAAAAAAACUUUCAACAACGGAUCUCUUGGUUCUCGCAUCGAUGAAGAACGCAGCGAAUUGCGAUACGUAAUAUGACUUGCAGACGUGAAUCAUUGAAUUUUUGAACGCACAUUGCGCCUUAAGGUAUUCCUCAAGGCAUGCGUGGAUGAGCGAUAUUUACUCUCAAACCUUCGGUUUGGUCUUGUAACCACAAAAUAUCAAA